UAGUAGACGAGUUUAGAAGGUGAGUUUAUGACUUAUUUUAGUUAGAAUAGAAAAAUAGAAACUAAUAGUAAUAAUAGAAAAGUAGUAAGUGGACUUGGGUUGUGAUAGCACGAAGUAAAAGACGGGUGCGGGCGGGAAGCCCAAAGAAUAAGAAUUAUGUUAAAACUAGUUUAAGUAAACUUGGGAUUAACCUAGUUUUCUAACUUAGAAAGAAAAUCAGAAAAAUUGAGGUAGAGAAGAGGUAGAGGCAGCCGCCCAUAGGAAGGAGAAGAAAGGAUUUCAGCAGCUAGGAUCAAAGAAAGAAUUCAUCAAAACUUAAGAUUUUCAGGUAUAGGGUGAACCUUAAAUUUUGCGGUGAAAUCCUUUACUCAUACUUGAGGUUGGCAUGUAGACGUCUCUUCUGAUACUAGUAACAUGGGGGAAAAUUCAUCUAGUUUUAUUUUCAACUUCUUUUAUUUCAUAAAUACCUCAUUUGGGAAACUUUGAUGUAUUAUUUUCAUCCAAACAACACUUUAUUCUAUUUCUAAAAUUAUUCAGAUAUUAUUAAGAGUUUUUCAGUUUAAUUAGAGUUUGUAUUUCAGACAA